rnacentral:lncRNA from 1 species
CUGGAAGAUGGGUGGAUGGAUGGGUGGGUGGGUGGGUACCUAGAAGGCUGUGUGUCGGGGCUCUCACGCGUACUAGAUUGCUGUUGUCUGGGAAAAAGCAGCCGCCACAGUUAACAGUAGUGGCGGCAGCAAAGGAACCGGGGCGUUUGCCCCCUCUCUGCCUUCCAUAGCGAUGAUGUUUUGCAGGGUGAGCCGGACCGGAGCCUCGCCGCUCCUGGAUGCUUUUGUUCUGCGGGCUCUGUGACGGUACUGAUCUCACAUAAACAAUAAACAGCCUGAGACACCUACCUACCCGGUAUCUCCAGGAUCCCCAAUAUCUUCCUGAUCCGAAAUGAGAGACACACAAAAAAAGGGAUGCAGACAAGGCUUUCCAAAAUGCGACCUGUUGAGGUGCCCGCGUCUAAUGCAAAUUUAACCUCUGAUCACACAUCAUCUGAGCUCGAAGGGAGGAUUCGGUCCUCACAAAGUUCAUUUCAUUGUUUACCCCGCAGUAAACAGAGUAGAGGUCAGGAAAUGGGUGAAGAAGAGAGAAAACACAGGCCCAUUAAAUCUUCAAGCCUGCUGCUGCCUGGGUCUGGUCCAAGUGCACUGCUAAUUCUAUUGGCUGGGAUGGAUGCCAAAGAGAAAGAGAAGUUCAAAUCCCAGCCCUGCCUGAGCUUAUUAACUGGUUUUUGAACUACAAUUUCUACUGUUUGAAGUGGCCUUGCUCAAUAAGGAGUGACUCCAGAACUUCAUUUCAUAAGACAAGUAAGCGCUGUGCCCUGCAAGUGAGCGCUGUGUCACUCGCCCAUGAGGUAUUCCAGAAACACCUCAGAGGACCAACCACCUACCACUGAAGAAGCUCCCAGGCUUGUGGGGUUCCUCUAGGCAUUACAGGUCCUCUGUCUUUGGAAUAAGAGAUGGCUCGACAAGAGCCUGCACUGCUCUUCCCGAGGACCAGAGUUCAGUUCCCAGCAUGUACACUGAUCUGCUUGCAACCAGCUGUAUGCAACUCCAGCUUCAGGGAACCCAAUGCCCUUUUCUAGCUUCCAGCCUCCAAAGGCACCUGCACUCCGAUGCACAUCUCUCUCUCUCUCUCUCUCUCUCUCUCUCUCUCUCUCUCACACACACACACACACACACACACACACACACACACACACGGGGGAGGGGGAAGAGGGAGGGAGUGGGGGAAGGAGAAAGGGGAGAGAGAGAG